rnacentral:rRNA from 1 species
AUUGAACGCUGGCGGCAGGCCUAACACAUGCAAGUCGAACGAGUGGCGGACGGGUGAGUAAUGUCUGGGAAACUGCCUGAUGGAGGGGGAUAACUACUGGAAACGGUAGCUAAUACCGCAUACCAUCGGAUGUGCCCAGAUGGGAUUAGCUAGUAGGUGGGGUAAAGGCUCACGUAGGCGACGAUCCCUAGCUGGUCUGAGAGGAUGACCAGCCACACUGGAAAUGAGACAAGGUGCAUAUUCCGUCGGGAGUCAGCAGUGGGGAAUAUUUCACCAGGGGUGGUAGGCUGAUGCAGGCAUGCCGAGUGUAGGAAGAAGGGCGUCGGGGUGGAAAGUACUUUUAGCGGGGAGGCGUUGCCCGCAUAAGAAGCCCAGGCUCACUCCGUGGCAGCAGCCGCGGUAAUUC